GGGGCUGGUGCGCAUGCGCGCCGCGGCAGCCGCGGGACGGGUGCGGGUUCGAUGUCGGCGUCCCCGCGGGGUCCGGAUCACGACGAGCAGCUGCUCCGGGACUGGGAGAGCCAGCAAGUAGAACUAAAGAAGCAUGUGAUUGACUACAACACCGAGGAUUGGCAGAGCAACGAAGGCUUUGAAGGGUUAGAGCGUGUCGGAGGAGUGGAUCUAUCUUUCAUCAAGGAAGAUGAAGUUAAUGCUUGUGCUUCGCUAGUGGUUCUCAGUUAUCCUGAUCUCAAGGUAGUCUAUGAAGAGUGCCAAAUGGUUUGUCUGACUGCCCCUUAUAUCCCUGGCUUUUUGGCUUUUCGGGAGACACCUUUCUUGGAAGAAGCUGUGAAAAGACUGCAGCACAAAGAUCCGAGCCUUCUCCCUCAGGUCAUUUUUGCAGAUGGAAAUGGAAUAUUACAUCACAGAGAAUUUGGUGUUGCCUGUCAUUUGGGUGUCCUGGUAGACUUGCCCUGUAUUGGAGUUGCUAAAAACCUCCUGCAUGUGGACGGCUUGGAAGCAAAGGACCUGCUGAAAGAAAAGAUCAAAGACCUUCAUGAAAGAGGAAACACUUUUACACUAACUGGAAGGUCUGGGAAGGUUUUGGGUAUGGCUCUUAAAAGCUGUGAGAAAAGCACAAAACCAAUUUAUGUGUCUGUGGGCCACAGGAUUAAUCUGGACACUGCCACACGCCUGACUCAUUCCUGCUGUAAAUACAGAGUACCAGAACCAAUUCGACAGGCUGACAUAAGGUCCAGAGAAUAUAUCCGUAAAAAUGUUAACGCAUCCUGACAGUCGGAUACACGGUGGUCAGACGUUAAUCUUGCACGGCAACCACCAAAUGAAGGAACCCUAUAGAACCCAUUAAAAAAAUGCUGUCUCACACCCAAUGUGCAGGAAAAAAAACAAAUCAAAGAAACAAUAAAAACUCAAACCAGAAAUCUGUUUCAAUCCAUCGCUGUUAUGUUUGAGCAAUAAAUAGGAAUAGUGAGAGCUCUGUUCACAGCUUUCCAGUAUCAUCCCUUAUGAUUACAGAGGUAUUGCUUUGUGGAAAACUGCUGAACUGACAAAACAACAGAACACACGAUUCUUCCGAGAGCAAUAUAUCCGAAUGUAAUAAAAGAUGUAAGCCUCCAAUUUGGCACUCUUCUGUUGUUUACACACUCUGACCAACUCGCUAACUGAGAGCAGUCCUGCGAUGGAUGCAGUGAAUCUUUCAAACUUACCAGUGGAAAUGAUUUAAGGAGGGGGGCCUAUAAAUACUGUAGUGGGCAAGAGAAGUUAUCACACUUGGUGAAAUGGGGUUUGAGUGCCUCUUUUGAAGCAAGAAAUAAACACUGUGUUCCAACUUGCUCCUUCUUCUGCACGAAGGUGUAACAGUGAGCCAGUUUGCUCAUAUUGAUAUCGGCCACUUGUAAGCUGAGACCAGACCACCUCACUGAAUAUUUCCUCGUUGCGUAAAGCCACAUUGAACCAAGAGGUGGCAGGCUGCACACAUCCAGUAGAAUGAGUGGGAUUCUAAUGAAUACAGCUGAUGGUGUUCAGGCAGUUCACUGAAGAUUAUUGAAUGCCCUGAACAUGGGUAGGCAUUUCCAGGAGCUCAGUGUCACCUGGAUGACACCAUUGUUACCGGUAAGGAUGAUAAGGAACAACUCCAAAAUCUCAAGACAGUGUUAAAAAGAUUAGAAGAUUAUGGGCUCAGAGUAUGAUGCGGCAUGUGUGAAUUCUUUAAACCAAGUAUCACUUACUGUGGUCACACCACUGAUGCACAAGGAUUACAUAAGUAAGUUGAAAAAAUUCAAGCAGUGGUGAACAUCUCAAAAUCAAAGGACGUGUCACAGUUGUGUUUUUUUUAGGAUUUGUCAAUUACUUUAACAGGUUCUUGUCAAGCCUGGCUACUGUGCUCAACCCCUUGAACUCGUUACUAUGGAUUGGGAAGAAAUGGCAAUGGACAAAGCAGUGUGGGGUGGCUUUCAAAAAGGUAAAGGAAAUGGUGAUAUUAGAGGCAAUACUCAAACAUUAUGAUCCACAUCAUCCAGUGAAGCUUACCUGUGACACCUCGCCUUAUGGCAUUGGUGAUGGAAGAGAAUGCCCCAUAGACUUUGCAUUUUGUUGCCUUACCACUGCAGAAAAAGUAUCGUGCACAGAUUGACAGAGAGGCCUUGAGUCUGGUUAGGGAUGUAAAACGUUUCAACCAGUAUUUGUAUGGGAGAGAUGAUCAGUAGUUUACUGAUUGUCAACUACUGGAGUUCAUUUUCAAUCCACAGAAGGGUGUUCCACUAGCAGUAGUAGCACAAAUGCAGUGAUGGGCUCUGUUUCUUGGUGGACACGAUUACAAGAUCAAAUUUAGGAAGACGGCUAAUUAUGGAAAUGCUGUUGGAUUGUCCUGUUUACCCUUGAAAAGGAAAUAUCUCAAAAACUUGCAAAAGAGGACACUCCUCUCGAUGCCUUCUUCCUAAUGCAAACAGAAAGUCGCCCUAUUACAGCGGGAAUGAUCCAAAGGAAAACCAGAAAAGAACUCAUGUUGUCUCAGGUCUAAAUGGCAACCCAAAGUGGCUGGAAUGUGCAAUAGAAAUCCCAUUUCCUCCAUUUUUAUCUGCGCUGGCAUGAACUUGCCCUUGAUGGAGGUUGCCUUAUGUGAGGCUUGAGAGUUGUUGUACCAUCCAAGCAGAGAGCUAAAGUGUUGGAUGAGCUAUAUACCAGUCAUUGAGACAUGGUCAAGAUGAAAGCAUUGGGUUGAAGCUUCAUCUGGUGGCCUGGGAUAGAUUGUGCAGCUUGCCAUGUAUUGUCUGGGGUGCCAAUACUGCCUGCUGAUGCCAAGAGCAGUGCCUUGCCGUCCCUGGGAAAGGCCUGCAUUGCCCUGGCGGUGGAUUCUUGUGGAUUUUGUUGGACCAUUUAUGGGCACAAAUUUCCAGGUUGAAGUGGAUGCAGCUACAAAGUGGACAGUAGUAUUCCCAGAACGCUCAGUCAAUAAUAAUGGACCGUAGAUUGCUGCAGAAUAGUUUCAGUCAUUCCUGAAAAUGAAUGGAGUAAGACACUUUACUUCUGCACUGUACCACUGGCUUAGUGGCAAGAUUUGUCCCAAGUCUAAAGAACACACUGUGAACAAUGUCAGUGGAACACACUAAACUAACACUGGAUCAGUAGCUCACCAAUUUCCUCCUUGCAUAUUGUAAUGCAACAACUCACCGGCUAUACUGUUCCUGGGUUGUCCCUUGCAGUCACGCUUCGAUCUCGUCAAAUCCAAUCUCGGAAGGAGGAUGCAGGACAAAUAGCUGAGACAAAUUGAGGGCUCCUCAGUCAGUGAGAAUCAGUGUUUCGCCCCGGGACAAGCAGUGCUGGUGAGGAACUACAGAGGUGAUCAAAAGUAAGUACUCCGAAGGAUUAAGGAUAGGACUGGGCUGCUUUCCUACACCGUGGAUUUGCGUCUGAUAUCAUUUGGAGACAACAUAUCGAUUGGCUGAGGAGAGCAGACGCAAUUGUUAGAGAAGAAAGUUGGCUACCGCUAUCAGAACCACUUCCUGCUGUCUCAGAUUCAACUCUUACAACCAUCACGGAGGAGGCUCCAGAACCUGUGAAUGUUUUCACAGCCACAAGUCUCACCUGCCAAGCAGUGUCUCGCUAAUUAAAUCUUCAGGCCUGAUUGGGAUCAUUUAAAAUUGACUGUGCUGUGGAUGUCUAUACAGUAUAGUAGUUGAAUUAUAGAGUGUACUGUAAGUGUAUAAGUUGAGAUGUUUUCUAUAUUAAGUUGGAGUUUAAACUAAGCAGGGAGGAAUGUUGUGUAUUUAAUAUUUGAGUAAUAUUGUAAAUAUAUUUGAUUGAGAAUUCUUUGUUGUUUACUUAAUUUAUUAUGGGUCAUAUGUAAAAGUAUGUGAAUGUCAUUACGCCACUGCGUCAUAUGUGCGUGCCUCGCCUAAAGUAAAAACGAAACUAAGACACAUUUUCCUAUGCUUAUCUUUCAAUUAGUUUUACGCUUUGCAUAGAAAGGAGGAGCAUAACUGAGCAACUGUAUAUCAUUCAGUUUCUGUACUGAAUUUGUCAUGCCUUUAGACGGAAACAGUUUGAUGGACAGUUUUCAGUUAUGGACACUGCACCUUUAAAGUUCCAAGUUCAGAGUAAAUUUAUUAUCAAAGUACAUAUAUUUCACCAAAUACAACCUCAUUUUCUUGUUGGCAUUCACAGUAAGUCCAAGAAACACAGUAGAAUCAAUGAAAACUGUACCCAACAGGA